rnacentral:rRNA from 1 species
GACGAACGCUGGCGGCGUGCUUAACACAUGCAAGUCGAACGGAAAGGCCCUGCUUGCAGGGUACUCGAGUGGCGAACGGGUGAGUAACACGUGGGUGAUCUGCGCUCCACUUCGGGAUAAGCCUGGGAAACUGGGUCUAAUACCGGAUAGGAGCCAUUCUUAGUGUGAUGGUUGGAAAGUUUUUUGGGUGUGGGAUGAGAUCGCGGCCUAUUUGUUUGCUGGUGGGGUAAGGGCCUACUAAGGCGGGGAUGGGUAGCCGGCCGGAGGGGGGGGACGGCCACAUUGGGGAUUGGAUACCGCCCAGACCCCUACGGGGGGGAGGAGUGGGGAAUAUUGCAAAAUGGGCGCGAGCCUGAUGGAGCGAAGCCGCGUGGGGGAUGAAGGCCUUCGGGUUGGAAACUCCUUUCGCUAGGGACGAAGCUUUUUGUGACGGUACCUAGAUAAGAAGCACCGGCUAACUACGUG